rnacentral:SRP_RNA from 1 species
GCUGGGCAUGAUGGUGCAUGCCUAUAGUCCUAGCUACUCAGGAGGCUGAGGCAGGGGCACUGCUUGAGCCCAGGAGUUUGAGGCUGCAGUGAGCUAUGAUAGCACCACUGCACUUUAGCCUGGGCAACAGAGUGAGACACUGUCUCUA